UACGUAGGGUGCGAGCGUUAAUCGGAAUUACUGGGCGUAAAGCGUGCGCAGGCGGUUCGUUGUGUCGGCGGUGAAAGCCCCGGGCUCAACCUGGGAAUGGCCGUUGAAACUGGCGAACUGGAGUGUGGCAGAGGGGGGUGGAAUUCCGCGUGUAGCAGUGAAAUGCGUAGAGAUGCGGAGGAACACCGAUGGCGAAGGCAGCCCCCUGGGCUGACACUGACGCCUCAGGCACGAAAGCGUGGGGAGCAAACAGG
rnacentral:rRNA from 1 species